GUGACAGAAGAGAGUGAGCACACAUGGUGGCUUUCUUGCAUACUAGGGUUUCAUGCUUGAAGCUAUGUGUGCUUACUCUCUCUCUGUCAC
rnacentral:pre_miRNA from 1 species